rnacentral:rRNA from 1 species
GACAGAGGGUGCAAACGUUGUUCGGAAUUACGGGGCGUAAAGCGCGUGUAGGCUGUCCUGCAAGUCGGAUGUGAAAGCCCUGGGCUCAACCUAGGAAGUGCAUUCGAAACUGCAGGACUGGAGUCCUGGAGAGGAAGGCGGAAUUCUCGGUGUAGAGGUGAAAUUCGUAGAUAUCGAGAGGAACACCGGUGGCGAAGGCGGCCUUCUGGACAGUGACUGACGCUGAGACGCGAAAGCGUGGGGAGCAAACAGG